rnacentral:rRNA from 1 species
CAGCCGCCGCGGUAAUACGUAGGUGGCAAGCGUUGUCCGGAAUUAUUGGGCGUAAAGGGCUCGCAGGCGGUUUCUUAAGUCUGAUGUGAAAGCCCCCUGGCUCAACCGGGGAGGGUCAUUGGAAACUGGGAAACUUGAGUGCAGAAGAGGAGAGUGGAAUUCCACGUGUAGCGGUGAAAUGCGUAGAGAUGUGGAGGAACACCAGUGGCGAAGGCGACUCUCUGGUCUGUAACUGACGCUGAGGAGCGAAAGCGUGGGGAGCGAACAGGAUUAGAUACCCCCGUAGUCCCUGUCUCUUAUU